ACCAUAUCAGUUUGAAACAACAUUUCUCGUACGAACAUGGAAGUUAAGCAACAUCGAACCUGGUCAGUACCGAGACGGGUGACCGCUUAGGAUUACCAAGUGCUGUAA